CAAGGAUGCUGAGGUGGUUUGCCACUCCCUUCUCCAGUGGACCACCUUUUGUCAGAACUCUCCGCCAUGACCCAUCUGUCUUGGGUGGCCUUGCAUAGUGUGGCUCAUAGUUUCAUUGAGUUAGACAUUUUGUGGUCUAGGUAGUCAGUUUGGUUAGUUUUCUGUGACUGUGGUUUUCAUUCUGUCUGCCCUCUGAUGGAUGAGGAUAAGAGGCUUGUGGAAGCUUCCUUGUGGGGAGGACUGGCUGUGGGUAAAACUGGUUCUUGCUCUGGUGGGCAAGGCCAUGCUCAGUAAAUCUUUAACCCGAAUUUCUUCUGUUCCCUCCCUGUAGUCUGGUCUGAGGCCAAGCUAUGGUAGGGGUGGUAACGGCCACCUCCUUCAAAAGGACUCAUGCCAGCACGCCAUGGCUCCCAGGACUGUUGCAGACAGUGCCCCAGACCUUCAGCAGGCCACUGUUGACCCAUACCCACUGGAGACGCCUGGACACUCACAGGAUGAAGGUGAAGAAAGGAAGAAAGAAACAACCACGUCACAAAGGAAAAAAAACCUCAAAUGAUUCCUCAACUAGUUUCAAUCAGCUAAGGAAUAAUUUCUCCAGGCUAAAAAGCAAAUCAAAAUAGUUUUCAGAAACGUCUUUUUUCAGUUAAUGGUACAACCUUAAAUUUAGUUUUU
rnacentral:lncRNA from 1 species